rnacentral:rRNA from 1 species
GCUUGCUGGGGGGAUUAGUGGCGAACGGGUGAGUAACACGUGAGUAACCUGCCCUUGACUCUGGGAUAAGCCUGGGAAACUGGGUCUAAUACCGGAUAUGACUCCUCAUCGCAUGGUGGGGGGUGGAAAGCUUUUGUGGUUUUGGAUGGACUCGCGGCCUAUCAGCUUGUUGGUGGGGUAAUGGCCUACCAAGGCGACGACGGGUAGCCGGCCUGAGAGGGUGACCGGCCACACUGGGACUGAGACACGGCCCAGACUCCUACGGGAGGCAGCAGUGGGGAAUAUUGCACAAUGGGCGGAAGCCUGAUGCAGCGACGCCCCGUGAGGGAUGACGGCCUUCGGGUUGUAAACCUCUUUCAGUAGGGAAGAAGCCGCAAGGUGACGGUACCUGCAGAAGAAGCGCCGGCUAACUACGUGCCAGCAGCCGCGGUAAUACGUACGGCGCAAGCGUUAUCCGGAAUUAUUUGGGCGUAAAGAG